rnacentral:rRNA from 1 species
UACGUAGGGGGCAAGCGUUGUUCGGAAUUACUGGGCGUAAAGGGCGCGUAGGCGGCCUUCUAAGUCGAACGUGAAAUCCCUGGGCUCAACCCAGGAACUGCGUCCGAUACUGGAAGGCUUGAAUCCGGGAGAGGGAUGCGGAAUUCCAGGUGUAGCGGUGAAAUGCGUAGAUAUCUGGAGGAAUACCGGUGGCGAAGGCGGCAUCCUGGACCGACAUUGACGCUGAUGAGCGAAAGCUAGGGGAGCAAACGGG